rnacentral:rRNA from 1 species
UAUCUCUGUAGAGUCUGCAUAUCAAUAAGCGGAGGAAAAGAAACUAACAAGGAUUCCCUUAGUAACGGCGAGUGAAGCGGGAAGAGCUCAAAUUUGAAAUCUUCAAGGUUUACCUUGACGAAUUGUAGUUUAAAGAAGUGUUUUCUGUUGGAGUUUUGGUAAAAGUUCUUUGGAAUAGGACAUCAUAGAGGGUGAGAAUCCCGUAUUUGACCAUUAUUUCCAGCUGUGUGAUACACUUUCAAAGAGUCGGAUUGUUUGGGAAUGCAGUCCAAAAUGGGUGGUAAAUUUCAUCUAAAGCUAAAUAUUGGCGAGAGACCGAUAGCGAACAAGUACCGUGAGGGAAAGAUGAAAAGAACUUUGAAAAGAGAGUUAAACAGUACGUGAAAUUGUCAAAAGGGAAGCGUUUGACACCAGUGUUGUUUUCUCGAAAAUCAAUUAAAAAUGGACCUGAUUUUGUGUUGUAUUGACCUUAAAAGCUUUCUGCACUUUUUUCAUGUCUUUUUUAAUGCACUUUUCGUUUAACAAGUCAACAUCAGUUUCUUUUGUUGUAAAAAGGUCAUUGGAAGGUGGCUUUCUUUUCGGAGAAAGUGUUUAUAGCCUUUGACUCCUGCAAUCGGAGAGACUGAGGUCUGCAGCGUAGAUCCUUCUUGGAUUAGAUUCAUUUGUGCUAAGUUAUAGCUUUUUAUAGACAACUUGUUGACUAUAUUUAGUCUUGUAGCUUACUCGCUUAUGCAAUUUUACCUACGCUUAGGAUGUUGAACGCGCACAGAGUCUC